rnacentral:tRNA from 1 species
GCCGGAGCGGGCGGCGGCGUCGCCUGCGCGGGCGCCGGCUGCGGGAUGGAGCUGGCCUGCGGAGCCGGGGCCGGCUCGGGCUCGGGCUCCGGCUC